UGGACAGAUCUCCUCUUGGACCAGUGACUCCUUUAAAGUCAGGACUUCAGUGUUUUGAUUGAGGCAGAAAUGCUGCUGCUGCUCCUCAGAUACAAUGGAGAACAUAUUUCUUCCUCGGUAGUAGUAUCUGCUUUCUAAUGGCACCAGUUCAUGAGUUCCUGAGUUUAUCUGCUCUAAAAUCUCCCAGUGUCCCUUCCAGCUGCAAAGAUAGAGGAAAACUCCCUGCUUCAAAAGUCUAAUUUCAUGUAUUUCCUCAGAGACAUUCUGCGUUCUCCAGUCUCCAAAGACAAUUCUGGACAGGAGAUACCUGCCAGACUCCAGAGAGCAGGUUUAGAUUAGAUCUUAACAAGAAAUCUCUUAGUGUGAGGGUGGUGAGGCCUUGAGGUUGCCCAGAGCAGCUGUGGCUGCCCCUGGAUCUCUGGAAAUGUCCAAGACCAGGUUGGACAGGGCUUGGAGCCACCUUGGGAUAGUGGAAGGUAUCCCUGACAUGGCAAGAAGUUGGAACAAGAUGAUCUUGAAGGUCCUUUCCAAUUCAAACCAUUCUGUGAUUCUAUGUGUGCUAAGAUCUCUUCCAUCCUUCAAAUGCAGCAGAUUUUCUGUCUCCUCUCUCUCCAUAACAGUGUCAGUACUUCUCAUUUGGAAAUAAAUCCUCUCAGCUGCAACACUUUGCUUCAUGAAUGCCUUUUGAAGUGGCUGUUUCAGCUGGCUUGAAGGAGGCAGAUUCAAAUGGAAACUCACAUGUUCAACAGUGAAGCAGCACGAAGUUGUCAGGCUUGACCAGAUGAGAUUCGGACGCUCCUUGGGAUCACUUAAACGCGAUUUAUUGACCAGCAGCAAGUCGGUCCUUGCCCUGGGAGAGGCAGAGGCGGCGGGGUCGAGUCCGGCUGCUGCAAUUCCCCCAUUUUCCCACCAGAUGGCAGCCGCCACAAAGGAAAAAUCCAGCGGAGAAUCUGCAAGUCACGGGAAGGAGCCGGAACGGGAACACCCGGGCUGGGCAGCAUGGCGGGGCCGGCUAGGGAAGGGAGAAUCCCCCGGAGAGUGAUACCUAAAGAAGGUAUCACCUCUGGAUAUCUGAUGAUAGGAACUUCAGCACAGGACUGGAGAGAUUCUUAGCCUUCCACUCAAAACGUGCAUUACACUCACUAGCAAGUGGCAGUUAACAAUUGAAUAAGUGUCUCUUUUCUUCCUCAUUGUUUUCUUUCAUUUACCUCAUUAUAUUCAUUGGUGUGGUAAUCAAGGUAGAUAAAGAAAGAAAUAUUCAAAAAAAGCACCUCCAAAUCCAGUAUGAAGUCAGAGGUGAUUCUGAGAGUGGUUAAGAAUUACUAUGGGCUGCCUGGGUGAAUAAAUCCCUUGAACUGAACUUUUUAACCCCAAACUCAAGUGAGUAUUCUAUUCUUUGGAACAUAUGGGGGAAAAAAAGUGCCCAAUGCACAAACAUCUGCCAUUCUAGGGGAAAACUGGGCUACUGAAUACAGAGACAGGAACAGGCAAAUGUUCACUCCAGAGUUGUUCAGUAGAUGGAGUAGGAGUUAUUUACAUUCAAAUGCUGAACCAUGUGACACUCACUUCCUAUUGAAUGCACAUAAAAAGGCAUCAGAGAAUCUAUUUGGCAAAACCUUUAAGAUGAACAGAAUAAACCCGUGUUCCUGCCUUGCACACAAUCUUUACUUAUUUAUGCAUGUGGCUCACAAGUAAAACAUCAGAAAAAUCAAGACAGACGUUGAAUGGCACAGAUAAUUGAGGUCCAG
ensembl:lncRNA